rnacentral:rRNA from 1 species
CCUACGGGAGGCAGCAGUAGGGAAUAUUGCUCAAUGGGGGAAACCCUGAAGCAGCAACGCCGCGUGGAGGAUGAAGGUUUUCGGAUUGUAAACUCCUUUUGUUAGAGAAGAUAAUGACGGUAUCUAACGAAUAAGCACCGGCUAACUCCGUGCCAGCAGCCGCGGUAAUACGGAGGGUGCAAGCGUUACUCGGAAUCACUGGGCGGAAAGAGCGCGUAGGCGGGAUAGCAAGUCAGAUGUGAAAUCCUAUGGCUUAACCAUAGCACUGCAUUUGAAACUGUUAUUCUAGAGUAUGGGAGAGGUAGGUGGAAUUCUUGGUGUAGGGGUAAAAUCCGUAGAGAUCAAGAGGAAUACUCAUUGCGAAGGCGACCUGCUAGAACAUAACUGACGCUGAUGCGCGAAAGCGUGGGGAGCAAACAGGAUUAGAUACCCUAGUAGUC